rnacentral:rRNA from 1 species
GCUACUGUGCCAGCUGGUGAAUGGCUCGGCUCGAGAGCCGACGACGGACGUGCCAAGCUGCGAAAAGCUCGUGGGACCCGCAUGGAGGGAAAGAACACGAGAUCUCCCAAUCGGAAUCCGUUCAACAAUUGCCACGCGCAAUAGGGAACGCCCUGAAUUGAAACAUCUCAGUAAGGGCAGGAAAAGAACGCAACAGCGAUGUCGUCAGUAACCGCGAGUAAACGCGACACAGCCCAAACCGAAGGUCUUCGGACCAAUGUGGUGUUCGGGUUGACAACCAAAUCUCGACACUCUCUCAGAAGUCUCCUGGAACGGAGCGUGAAACAGGGUGACAACCCCGUAUGAGAGAGCAGUACGGAUGGCGUCAAAUCCAGAGUAGUAGGGGUCGGAUAUCCUCUAUGAACANNUGGCGAUCGAGCGACAGGGCGUACAAGGCGUCUCUUGAAACGACCGAGGAGCGAUCCUCUAGUAGGAAGAGAGACGAGCCGGCGUCGUGUCGUGCGUUUUGAAAAACGACCCAGGGAGUGCACUUGAUUGGCGAGUCUAACCGGCGAACCCGGGAAGGCGCAGGGAAACCGAUACGGCCGCAGCAUUGCGAGGGCCACCGUGUUCAAGCGCGGGGAGUCAAUCAGGUGCGACCCGAAACCAGGCGAUCUACGCGCGAGCAAGGUGAAGCGUGGCGAAAGCCACGUGGAGGCCUGUUAGAGUUGGUGUUCUACAAUACCCUCUCGUGACUCGUGUGUAGGGGUGAAAGGCCCAUCGAGCCUGGCAACAGCUGGUUCCAACCGAAACAUGUCGAAGCAUGACCUCNNGGGAGUCCGGUGCGCGGGGUAAGCCUGUGUACCGUGAGGGGAACAACCCAGAGCCGGGUUAAGGUCCCAAAGUGUAGAUUAAGUGCGAUUCGAAGGUGGUCUCAAGCCCUAAACAGCCGGGAGGUGAGCUUAGAAGCAGCUACCCGCUAAGAAAAGCGUAACAGCUUACCGGCCGAGGUUUGAGGCGCCCAAAAUGAUCGGGGCUCAAAUCUACCACCGAGACCUGGCCGUGCCCUUGACAGGGGCAACCGCGUAGGUUGGCGUACUGGUCGGACGGAAGCCCGGGCGAGAGCUCGUGUGGACCGUCCAGUAACGACAAUCCUGGUCACAGUAGCAGCGAUAGUCGGGUGAGAACCUCGACGGCCUGAAGAGCAAGGGUUCCUCGGCACUGCCGUUCAGCCGAGGGUUAGCCGGUCCUAAGGUGUACCACAACUUGACUACACCGACGGGAAGCUGGUUAAUAUUCCAGCGCCAUCGUGCAGUAAACGCCGACGCCGUGUGGAACGCUGAGCCGGGCACUCGCCCGGUCGAAUCGUGGAAACUCGUGGACGCCGUCACGGCACGAAGCGAGCGAAACGCGAAACAGCGAAAGUCAGCCGUACAUAGGGCCCGUGAAAAGGCAAGCACGAUGUCCGUACCGAGAUCCGACACAGGUGCUCUGCCAGCGCAAGGCAAGGCCUGUCGGGAGAACCGACGUUAGGGAAUUCGGCAAGUUAGUCCCGUACCUUCGGAAGAAGGGAUGCCUGCUCUCUAAGGAGCAGGUCGCAGUGACUCGGGCGCUCCGACUGUCUAGUAACAACACAGGUGACCGCAAAUCCGCAAGGACUCGUACGGUCACUGAAUCCUGCCCAGUGCGGGUAUCUGAACACCUCGUACAAGAGGACGAAGGACCCGUCAACGGCGGGGGUAACUAUGACCCUCUUAAGGUAGCGUAGUACCUUGCCGCUUCAGUAGCGGCUUGCAUGAAUGGAUAAACGAGAGCGCCACUGUCCCAACGUUGGACCCGGUGAACUGUACGUUCCAGUGCGGAGUCUGGAGACCCCCAAGGGGAAGCGAAGACCCUAUAGAGCUUUACUGCAGGCUGUCGCUGAGACGUGGUCGCCGAUGUGCAGCAUAGGUAGGAGUCGUUACAGAGGUACGCGCGCCAGCGCGCCACCCAGACAGCAUUGAAAUACUACCCGUCGGUGACUGCGACUCUCACUCCGGGAGGAGUACACCGGUAGCCGGGCAGUUUGACUGGGGCGGUACGCGCUCGAAAAGAUAUCGAGCGCGCCCGAAGAUCAUCUCAGCCGGGUCGGGAAUCCGGCGAAGAGCGCAAGAGCACAAGAUGGUCUGACAGUGUUCUUCCCAACGAGGAACGCUGACGCGAAAGCGUGGUCUAGCGAACCUACGAGGUUCCGGAAUGGGACCCGUAGAUGACAGAAAAGCUACCUUAGGGAUAACAGAGUCGUCACUCGCAAGAGCACAUAUCGACCGAGUGGCUUGCUACCUCGAUGUCGGUUCCCUCCAUCCUGCCCGUGCAGAAGCGGGCAAGGGUGAGGUUGUUCGCCUAUUAAAGGAGGUCGUGAGCUGGGUUUAGACCGUCGUGAGACAGGUCGGCUGCUAUCUAUUGGGGGUGUGAGGUACCUGACGUGAACGAACGUAUAGUACGAGAGGAACUACGUUUGGUCGCCACUGGUGUAUCGGUUGUCCGGAAGGGCAGAUGCCGAGUAGCCACGCGACACGGGGUAAGAGCUGAACGCAUCUAAGCUCGAAACCCACAUGGAAAAGAGGUACCACAGAGGUCACUCGUAGAAGACGAGUUCGAUAGACUCGGGGUGUACGCACCGAGGCAACGAGGUGUUAAGCCCACGAGAACUAACAGACCGA